rnacentral:rRNA from 1 species
UACGGCGAGUGAGAGGGAAGAGCCCAAGGUUGAAAGCUGGCGCCUUCGGCGUCCGCAUUGUGAUCUCAAGAAGUGUUUUCCGCUUCGGACCAUGCCUAAGUCCCUUGGAAAAGGGCAUCAUAGAGGGUGAUAAUCCCGUACAUGGCAUGGAGCGCCCGAAGCUUUGUGAUACGCUUUCUAAGAGUCGAGUUGUUUGGGAAUGCAGCUCAAAAUGGGUGGUAAAUGCCAUCUAAGGCUAAAUAUUGGGGAGAGACCGAUAGCGAACAAGUACAGUGAUGGAAAGAUGAAAAGAACUUUGAAAAGAGAGUUAAACAGUACGUGAAAUUGCCAAAAGGGAAGGGUAGGAGGUCAGAGAUGCGUCGCAGGAUUCAGCCUUGCUUUUGCUUGGUGUUUUUCCUGCGUUGCAGGCCAACGUCGGUUUUGGGCACUGGAGAAGGGUAGGAGGAACGUGGCACCUCUCGGGGUGUGUUAUAGCCUCCUACUGGAUACAGCGACCGAGACCGAGGAACGCAGCGUACUCGUAAGAGCGGGCCUUUUGGCACCUUUACGCUUAGGGCGUUGGCAUAAUGGCCCUCUACCACCCGUCUUGA